rnacentral:sRNA from 1 species
AUAUAGCCCCUGGCCGAAGACAGCCUCCAGGCAGUGCUCCCUGAGCUAUGUACUGUCUUUCUCUUCUUGCAGGGUUAAAACACCAAGAAAAAAGAAGCAUUAAUGAGAUGCUGUCAGACAGACAUCUCCAGAGAGACAAUCUUCAUGCACAGGUGAGGGGCAGGACCACCAGCUGCUCUAAGGGGUCCUUUCUCUUCCAGGGAGAAGCAGCCCAGCCCUGCUGGGGUGGGUCAGGGAUUCAGUGUUGGAGCUCUCGUGGUCCUGGGAGCUGCUGGGGCCUGUGGGUAGGAUAGAGCCUCUGCCUUCAGGAACCCACAGUCUGAUGAAAGAGACAGAGCCAUGUCCUCAGGGAGCUCCCAGCCUAAUGAGGGAGACCUGGCCCCAGUCUGGGGCAAUGACCUAUUUUCACAGAAGCAAAUCUGAGCCUCUCAUCUGAGAAGUCUGGUGAAAUGCGAGAGACAUGGUGGGGAAAUAGGACCUUGCGGGGCCCAGAGGUGGGGUGGGGUGGGGUGGGUAAGAGUCAGGGGGAUUCUGUGAGAACAGGUAAGCAAGGUGUCAGGAAGGGGCAGGGCUCACCCCAAGGAUAAAAGGUGCCUGUCCUGUGCAAGGUGAAGGGGCUAGCACAGACUCGGUGCUCAGUUAAUGGGAGAAGGCCCCUUACCCCUUCCCAGUGGUGCCCAGCACGCUGGGACAGUGUGUUGUACUGACAAGAACAUUUGCAUCCAGAAACUGCCUGGGUUCAAACCCCAGCUUUGGCACAUCCUAGCGGUGUGCACUUGAGCAGGUUGCCUGAGCCUCAGUUUCCCCCGGACAGCAAUGGCUUCUAUUGCACAAAGCUGUUGUGAGGCUUCAAGGAGCUAGCGGGCCCAGAGGGCUCCACACGGGCCCGGCGCACAGUGGGUGCUUGGCCAGUGUUAUGCUCUUCCUAGUCCUGGGCUGCCCAGCUGCCUCCUUCCCCAGAAAUGCAUUGACUGGAACCGUAAUGUGCUGAAGCGGGAACUGGGCCUGGCAGAGAGUGACAUCGUGGACAUUCCCCAGCUCUUCCUCCUGAAAAACUUCUACGCAGAAGCCUUCUUCCCAGACAUGGUUAACAUGGUGGUCUUAGGCAAGUACCUGGGCAUCCCCAAGCCCUACGGGCCCAUCAUCAAUGGCCGCUGCUGCCUGGAGGAGAAGGUGCAGUCCCUGCUGGAGCCUCUGGGCCUGCACUGCAUCUUCAUUGAUGACUACUUGUCCUACCACGAGCUGCAGGGGGAGAUCCACUGUGGCACCAACGUGCGCAGGAAGCCCUUUCCCUUCAAAUGGUGGAACAUGGUGCCCUGAGCCUGCCCCCACCCGCCAUCCUCUCUGCCCUCUUGCUGGGGAACCCCGCCAGGGUGAGGGCAAGGAACAACCACCUGGCCUCCAUUCUCUUGGGGGAGUCUUGGCACUUUGCAAACAUCCUGGCCACCGUGGGCACCAGGACACAGGGAUGGAUACCACCUACCCUCGCCUCUGGAAUGGCCUACCCAACCCAAGAAGAAUGCACCUCAUUCUUCCCUCGCCUCUUUCCCACCCACAGCCCCCAGAGGCUCUAGAUCAACAAUGUUAGCAUGUUCAAGAAUGGCUGUGGGUGGCCUAGGGAGAUGGGCCCCACUUAGAAUUGCUCCCCUUUCAUUCUGAUACCUCCCUGGGGAACAAGGAUAAUGACUUUGCAUCUGCACCAGGAACGGGGCCCGGGGGACCUGGGGUCUGGUGUGCCAGGCACCAGGCUGCCUCUGCUCUUGGAAAACCAGGAAAGGAGAUCAGAAACAUCCUCUCCCGCUUCCAGGUUUCUUCUCCCAAAGGGGACCCAAGGCUGUGACACUUACUCCACCCCCAUCCAGCACCCUUCAGCUGUGUGUGGACAAACAAGGACAGAAAAACCCAGUGUCCAAGGGCCAAUUUAAAUAGAAAAAAAGACAACAAAAUUUUAAUAACUGACUCCGACCUCAGAAGAGUGAUUGCUACCUUUCUGGAAAGACUUUAAUUACCAGAGCUGGUUUCUCCCAGCUCAGAAAUGCUGACAGGCCAACGUGAGGCCUGAGGACACACAAAGGAUGACGGGGCAGGAGGGGAUGAGGUCAGGAUGAAAGAGUGUGUGACGACGGAUUUGGGGGCCUAGAGGUGUCCGUGGUUCCUGGGCUGGGAUUUUGGACUCUGGAUUUGAAGGGAGCUGGAGCUUCCAGAUAUAGCAGGGGUAGGGGGCCAGAUGUUAGAAGAGGGUGUGUGUGUUGGGAGGAAAUUAGGUUAUCUUUGAAGGUGGAGUUUAAUUUCCUUUAAUAGUCUUUAAUUAUUCCCCUUCAUUCUGCAGGCAGUGGGAGGGGAAGGCUUGCCCGGUCUCUCUCAGCAACCCAGGGACCCUGCACAUAUAGCUUGGGUUUCAUCCCUGAAUAAACCGCUGUGGCAGGCCCAUGUCCCCUCCCAUAAUAGGGAAGACAGCUGCCACAGGAGGUUAAUAGCCCUGAGUGAGGUCACUGAGACAUGCACAGGCAGGCUGGUUCAGCUGGGCUGCAGGGCACAGGCAGGAGGAAGCCAGCCUACCCUCUUCCCCCACUGCCAGUGAGGCCAUUAUAGGGCAGUUGGCCCUAGGGCCUCGGUCCAUCUAGGUUUUCCCUGGCCCCUGCUGAGACCUCACACUAAGCCAACUACUGUCACUCUUUUAACCAACAAAAGCUAGCCUGGAACUGCUAUGGUUAAAGUGGGUGAGCAGGAACAUGAAAAUUCCCUUCUGGAAGGUUCUACAGAACCCCAUUUGCAAGCUCCUGCUUUAACCUGAGUGUCCUCUGCUCAGGAUCAUACCCCAGGCUGCAGUGAGUCAAGAAGGAGAAGAAGGCUCUGAAGGGCCGGGGGUGUGAGCUGGGGUUGGGAUUCCCCUGAGAAAGAGCUGUGGGUAGGAAGGGAGUGCGCAUUGCAGAGCUAGGGCUGGGGGUCGGGGCCACACUGAGUGUGGGAAGCUCUGGAGUUGCUGCUGGGCCAUCGAGGGGCCCUGAUGUUGACUCUGAGAAUGUUCUGGGUGACCAGUCACCUCCUUUCUGAUCAAUAAAAGUGUCGACAUGCAUUUCUU